rnacentral:tRNA from 4 species
AAGUCCAGGGUAUUCUACAACCUUAUCCGAAUUUGCACUUCGGGCUUCUGGGCU